UGCGGCAUCAGAAGAGUUAAAAUUAGUAAGGUUUCAGUAAAUUUGACUUAAACUAUGAUUGAAAACUGCUGCGUACCCCUCCGCCUGCACGUUCCGGUAAACUGCCUGCUGUGCCCCUGUGAUGGGCCUCACCUGCUUUCCCCGUGGGGAUUAAUGCAGCUCAAGGAGUGGGGCUGGUUCCCUUCCCCUUAGCUGUGUGACACCUUCCUCUCCCAGAGUAGCCCAGACCAUGAGGGAGCCGCAAUGCAGAUGGAGCCACGGACAGAUCGUUGCUGAGCGGGUCACUUUGGAAGCAGGCUUCAAGAUGUGUAAUGGCUCUAACAUAAUAGAAAUGUAGCUCUCCCUCUCCCUCUCCCUCUCCCUCUUUCCACGGUCUCCCUCUGAUGCCGAGCCGAAGCUGGACUGUACUGCUGCCAUCUCGGCUCACUGCAACCUCCCUGCCUGAUUCUCCUGCCUCAGCCUGCCGAGUGCCUGCGAUUGCAGGCGCGCGCCGCCACGCCUGACUGCUUUUCGUGUUUUUUGGGUGGAGACGGGGUUUCGCUGUGUUGGCCGGGCUGGUCUCCAGCUCCUAACCGCGAGUGAUCCGCCAGCCUCGGCCUCCCAAGGUGCUGGGAUUGCAGACGGAGUCUCCUUCACUCAGUGCUCAAUGGUGCCCAGGCUGGAGUGCAGUGACGUGACCUCGGCUCGCUACAACCUCCACCUCCCAGCCGCCUGCCUUGGCCUCCCAAAGUGCCGAGAUUGCAGCCUCUGCCCGGCCGCCACCCCAUCUGGGAAGUGAGGAGCGUCUCUGCCUGGCCGCCCAUCAUCUGGGAUGUGAGGAGCCCCUCUGCCUGGCUGCCCAGUCUGGAAAGUGAGGAGCGUCUCUGCCCGGCCGCCAUCCCAUCUAGGAAGUGAGGAGCGCCUCUUCCCGGCAGCCAUCCCAUCUGGGAAGUGAGGAGCGUCUCUGCCUGGCCGCCAUCCCAUCUAGGAAGUGAGGAGCGCCUCUUCCCGGCAGCCAUCCCAUCUGGGAAGUGAGGAGCGUCUCUGCCUGGCCGCCAUCCCAUCUGGGGAGUGAGGAGCGUCUCUGCCCGGCCGCCCAUCAUCUGAGAUGUGGGGAGCGCCUCUGCCCUGUCGCCCCGUCCGGGAUGUGAGGAGCGUCUCUCCCCGGCCGCCCCGUCUGAGAAGUGAGGAGACCCUCUGCCUGGCAACCGCCCUGUCUGAGAAGUGAGGAGCCCCUCCGCCCAGCAGCCGCCCCGUCUGAGAAGUGAGGAGCCCCUCCGCCCGGCAGCCACCCUGUCUGGGAAGUGAGGAGCGUCUCCGCCCGGCAGCCGCCCCGUCCGGGAGGGAGAUGGGGGGGUCAGCCCCCCGCCUGGCCAGCCGCCCCGUCCGGGAGAUGAGGGGCGCCUCUGCCUGGCCGCCCCUACUGGGAAGUGAGGAGCCCCUCUGCCCGGCCAGCCGCCCCGUCCGGGAGGGAGGUGUGGGGGUCAGUCCCCCGCCCGGCCAGCCACCCUGUCCGGGAGGUGAGGGGUGCCUCUGCCCGGCCACCCCUCCUGGGAAGUGAGGAGCCCCUCUGCCUGGCCAGCCGCCCCGUCUGGGAGGGAGGUGGGGGGGUCAGCCCCCCGCCUGGCCAGCCGCCCCGUCCGGGAGGUGAGGGGCGUCUCUGCCCGGCUGCCCCUACUGGGAAGUGAGGAGCCCCUCUGCCCGGCCACCACCCCGUCUGGGAGGUGUACCCAACAGCUCAUUGAGAACGGGCCAUGAUGACAAUGGCGGUUUUGUGGAAUAGAAAGGGGGGAAAGGUGGGGAAAAGAUUGAGAAAUCGGAUGGUUGCCGUGUCUGUGUAGAAAGAGGUAGACAUGGGAGACUUUUCAUUUUGUUCUGUACUAAGAAAAAUUCUUCUGCCUUGGGAUCCUGUUGAUCUGUGACCUUACCCCCAACCCUGUGCUCUCUGAAACAUGUGCUGUGUCCACUCAGGGUUAAAUGGAUUAAGGGCGGUGCAAGAUGUGCUUUGUUAAACAGAGGCUUGAAGGCAGCAUGCUCGUUAAGAGUCAUCACCACUCCCUCAUCUCAAGUACCCAGGGACACAAACACUGUGGAAGGCGGCAGGGUCCUCUGCCUAGGAAAACCAGAGACCUUUGUUCACUUGUUUAUCUGCUGACCUUCCCUCCACUAUUGUCCUGUGACCCUGCCAAAUCCCCCUCUGCGAGAAACACCCAAGAAUGAUCAAUAAAAAAAAAUAAUAAUAAAAUAAAAAAUAAAAAAAAUAAAAAAAGAAAAUUAACUUUGGUACCAGGUACAAACCAGUCUGGGAGCAGAUCAGCAAAGAAACUCUUGAAAUAAACGGUUAAGAUAAAAAGGAGUAACAAAGGUGUAAUACCAACGCAUCGGCAGUGGCGCUGACCUUAGGAGGCUUCCGACAGUCAAUCACAAUACUUCAGGACCUAUCAGAGGUAGGAUCUAAGCCUCCCAGAGUCCCCGCAUGCCCUUGUCAGCUUCCCUGCUCCUCUCCUGAUGCUUCCUGGGAUCACUUCCCAAAUAAAUUACUUGCACUUAAAAAAAAAAAAAAAAAAAAAAGAAAUGUAUGUGUAUAAUAGUUAAGGCAGGUGUUCCUGAUCAGUGACUGGCUUUUUUCCACAAAAGACAUUCAGGGACCUACUUCCUUGCCCUCUUGGGGCUUCGCCAUCCCCUCAUAGCUACUUCUUGAAAGCUUUGGCAUAAAUGGCACACAUUACUUCUCACUUUCCAUGGAGGAGAAUGUUGAUAUAUAGCCACAUGGAACUGCAACAGAGGCUGAGAAAUCAGUCUAACCACAUAUGCUACAAGCAUGUUCCUAUGCAAAGAAAGAACAGCUUCAGAUGGAUAAUUAGUGUUGUCUAAUGCUUACAGAGUCACAAAUAUCCCAGUACCUAACAUAGUGCCAGGUAUGGAGUGAAUUGUUAAGUAUUUAUGGAGGAAGGAAGGGAGAGAGGGAGGCACACCAGUCCGGGUGUAUGGCCUAACCAUUGACAGGCAGAUGGGACUGUCUGUGAAGGAUCAUGCAACCCCAUCUUGCCAUCUGAGGUUUAAUCUUUGCAGUACUAAGUAAUUGUUUGUGUCCCUUGGAUUCUGUAAAUGUUGUACUACAACUGUACACAUGUCCUCUUUGACUUUUAUAGGCCUGGGGGAAGAAAAUUAAACAUUCUUCAUUUUACUUAGGUAAUUAAUUCAUUCCUUUUGUCACUUAUAUGUAAGUCAAUGGGAAGGAGGAAACAAUAUAAGAGUAACUGGAACACAACCUUCCUAAGCAUAUAGGCUCAGAGUUGUCAGAAUCAUCUCACAGAACAGUGAGAGAACAUGCUCAUGUUUCUCUGAGCUCUCUUCUGCCUUUAAGGUGUAUCUUAAACGGACUUUAUAAAGGUCAUCUUCAUUACAGGACUUUGAAGCAAUUCCGAAUGGCACUCUCUAGGUGCUGCCUGUGUCUGGCUGAGGAGGAAGACUGUGCAGUUACCUCCCUGGCUGCACAUAUGGCGCCUCUCUGUUCAGUCACCUCUCACCACCCUCUGCUGUUUUGGUGACCGUGUGGGG
rnacentral:lncRNA from 1 species